rnacentral:rRNA from 1 species
GCACAAGCGGUGGAGCAUGUGGUUUAAUUCGACGCAACGCGAAGAACCUUACCUGGGCUCGAAAUGUAGUGGACUGGGGUAGAAAUAUCCCUUCCUAGCAAUAGGCUGCUAUAUAGGUGCUGCAUGGCUGUCGUCAGCUCGUGUCGUGAGAUGUUGGGUUAAGUCCCGCAACGAGCGCAACCCUUAUUACCAGUUGCCAUCAUUUAGUUGGGCACUCUGGUGAGACCGCCUCGGAUAACGGGGAGGAAGGCGGGGAUGACGUCAAGUCCUCAUGGCCUUUAUGUCCAGGGCUACACACGUGCUACAAUGGCCGGUACAAACCGUCGCAAACCCGUGAGGGGGAGCUAAUCGGAAAAAGCCGGCCUCAGUUCGGAUUGGAGUCUGCAACUCGACUCCAUGAAGCUGGAAUCGCUAGUAAUCGCAGAUCAGAACGCUGCGGUGAAUACGUUCCCGGGC